ensembl:lncRNA
UGUUAGUCCGUCGUCAUGGGGAUAGGUGUUAGUCCGUCGUCAUGGUGUUCGUCUGACAUGUGUAUCACUGAACGUUGUGGUCCUCGCCUGUAGAUCCUCCCAGGUAUCGGUACAGUCCUGAGCGACUGAAGAAAGCUUUGUCCUGUCAGUCUGACGAGUUUCAACCAGACAGUCGCCAGGGACAACGACAGUCCGAGCCAAUCAGAGAAACACUGAAAAACAGCGAAGGUAAAAAAUCCACCUAAAGCGUUGCCAUGACGACUUCUAUGACAAGUUCAAGAUAAUAAUAACAAUGUUAUUAAUAAUGAUAAAGAUGUUAAUUAUAGUAAUAAUAAUGAUGAUAAUGCAAAUAAUCCGGAUGUUGAUGAUGAUGAUAAUAAUCAAAUCUGCUUUACUUCUUCUGCUGCUGAUUGUUGAUCAGUCAUCGUCAAGGUAAGAAACAAGAAUCGCCUCCUCUUUCUCUUCCUUCUCUUCCUCUACAUCAGAUUAGUUAUCACAAAAGCAGUACACAGUAUUGGGGGGGCUGUGUGUGUGUUGGGGGGGACCAGAGGGGGAGGGGCUCUCUCUCGCUGGGCGUGGUUGAGGGCGACCCGAAGGAAGGGAAGGACUACGCAGACGAUGAAGAAGAGGAGGAGGAGACGGCACCCCCCCCCCAGCGGUCUCCUGGGGCAGUGGAGGAGGAGGAGGACAGCAACUUUGUGGACCUCCUGCUGGAGGAUGACUUCACCAGCUCAGUGCUGGCCGCCGUCUCCUGCUGGGCUCUGUUUUGGUCAGGCGUUACCACGGUGACAAUCUACUUCCUGUUUCCUCCUCACCGGCCCGGCUGCAUAACGCACUAAAAGCCCGCUCGCUCAGGAGCUGUUUAUCGGCUUAAUGAGCUUCACGUGGUGAACUAACACAACACCAAACCUUCAACUUGUAUUAAUAAUAAUGCAAUAAUCUGCAUUUAUUUACUAAAUGAGGAUAUUUCCUAAAAGACAAAUUAAAAAUAUUUAAAAACUCUGACUGUUGUCUGUGCAUAUGCACCAAACAGCAGCUCAGAGUAUUCGGCCUUUUUGGAGACCCUGAAUGGAGUCCUGCAUGGGGCUCCAGUAGGGGACUCCAUAGUCCUACUGUGAGACUUCAAUGCCCACGUGGGCCACGAUGGAGACAACUGGAGAGGCGUGAUUGGGAGGAACGGCCUCCCUGAUCUGAACCUGAGCGGGUGUUUGUUGGACUUCUGUGCUAGUCACGGAUUGUCCAUAACAAACACCGUGUUUGAACAUAAGGAUGUUCAUAAGUGUACGUGGUACCAGAGCACCCGAGGCCAAAGGUCAAUGAUCGAUUUUGUAAUCGUAUCGUCUGAUCUGAGGCCGCAUGUUCUGGACACUUGGGUAAAGAGAGAGGCAGAGCUGUCAACUGGUCACCAUCUGGUUGUGAGCUGGGUCAGAGGAUGGGGGAAGACUCGUGACAGACCCGGUAAACCCAAGCGUGUAGUGAGGAUGAACUGGGAACGUCUGGAGGAGGCCCCGGUCCAGAGAGAGCUGAGCCGGAAGGCAAAGCUCUCGAUCUACCGGUCAAUCUUCGUUCCUACCCUCACCUAUGGACAUGAAGGAUGGGUCAUGACCGAAAGAACUAGGUCACGGGUACAAGCGGCCGAAAUGGUUUCCUCAGGAGAGUGGCUGGCGUCUCCCUUAGGGAUCGGGUGAGAAGCUCAGCCAUUCGCGAGGAGCUCGGAGUAGAGCCGCUGCUCCUUUGCGCCGAAAGGAGCCAGUUGAGGUGGUUUGGGCAUCUGGUGAGGAUGCCCCCUGGGCGCCUCCCAAGGGAGGUGUUCCAGGCACGGCCAGCUGGGAAGAGGCCCCGGGGAAGACCCAGGACCAGGUGGAGAGAUUAUAUCUCUGCACUGGCCUGGAACGCCUUGGGACCCCCCAGUCAGAGCUGGUAGAUGUGGGAAAGGGAAGUUUGGGGUCCCCUGCUGGAGCUGUUGCCCCCGCGACCCAACCCCGGAUAAACGGUUGAAGAUGGAUGGAUGGAUGGAUGGAUGCCUGAUGAAUUUCCUAGUUCAGCUCCAGAACCAAACUCUUCUCAAAGUAACAAAGUCGUCUGUCUGUCCGGCCUCGUGCUGCCAUCUAGUGGUGAUGACGCCAUCAGAACCUCCAGAACCACGACGGGACCAAAGACAGACAGAAUGAAAAGUUCUUUCAGCUCCUGGAACAAAUGAACCCAAAGUUAUAAAGCAAGAGGAGGUUCUUCUUCUCUUCUCUAAGAGCAUCGACCAUCUUCAGGGUCCAACUGGAUGUUCCUGUGCUCCAUUUUGUGAUCAAUAAAAACUACUAAUUACUAAUUAAUCACACAUGUUGAAAUUCAUUUCAACAAUAACAUCGUAACAACAACAAUGCUUUUUAAUGAAUGUUUUACUUCUAAAGACUAAAUCUUCUAAGUAAUCAUUUUAUAAAGUGUGUAUUGUAGACAAUUGUUGAUGUUAUUUUAAACACAAAACUACACACAGUUGAUCCUCUUGGAGGCAGAACAUGUUGAACAUGUUGAACUAGUGUUUCUUCCUGUUGUCCUCGUCCACUUUGCUCUCAACUCUGCAUCAUUUAACGUGUUUCAAGUGGCAACAAUGUCCCCUCAUUCAGCAGGACGUUUUCAAACCAGGUCUUUUAGGGACGCAGUGGUGGUCCUCUGCAGACUGUGCAGGGUAACGUUAGAUGUUGGGAUGGAAGUAGCCUAGCAGCUAGCUUAGCAUAGCGGUGCUUUGGGUGGUCCGUGUUUGACACGUGGAGGAAUUCCUCUGCUCGGUGUUGGAUCACUGUUUGUUUUACUUCCAAUGCGAAACGCAUCUUGCUUUCUCCGAUGUAACUGACUGCUAGCAGCCGGUUCUUUUCAGCGGCCAACAAACGAACGUUAACUAUGUUAAAAUAUUUUGUCGCAUUAAUCUCUGCCACAUUAAUCGCAUAGAUUAAGGCACUUAUGUUGACAGCCUAAUGAAACCACUUUAAACCUUUUUAUCCGACUUUUGUUGAAGCAGGAGGACGGAUGCGGAGUCUCCUUCGACGGCUGUGAGCAGAAAAACGGCCGUUUUCUUGAGGAAGACGAGCCAGGUGGAACCGGGCCAACGGGCGGGCAGGUAAAUGAGAGAGCAGCCGGCGACUCGCACAUUCUCACAG